ACACCAGCCUUAACUGCAGCGUCCAGGAGAGCAGCAGCACCUACCGCACGCUGGUCAUCCUGCGGCCACCGCCCGGCCACUCCUUCAGCCCAGGGAGCAGGAAAUGGCUGCCAGCCGAGCGCAUCCGUGUGGGGCUGGAGUGCCUGUGCUCCGGGGAGCAGCUGCUGGGGCACACGUGCUUUCUCCACGCCUCUGGUGGCCAGCUGCCCAGAGACCAGGAGUGGUAUCUGAUGGACACCCUCUGCACGGGCUCCUACUUAGACCCAGACAAAGUCACCCGCUGGGUGCAAAUGUUGGUGGCGUUGGCCUGGCUGCUCCUGCCGCAGUCGCGCCAUUUCCAGCUGACGGCGCUGCCCUGCGGCAAGUCCUGCAGGUUCCGGCUGAGCGGCGCCUCUGGCCUGCACUGCAGCAUCGAGAUGGUUCUGGCCGUGCAGCAAGGCAGCUCCUGUGCCUGCCUGAGCCUUGAGUAGGCAGCAGCCGGCUCUGCCAGCAGCACCGUGCGGGCCACAGAGCUGCCACCUCUCUGACUCACUGCCACGAUGGCUGUGCUACUGAGGUGACAGCACUGCAACCAAAAAGGAAUUGAGGAAGGUCAGGAAGAGGAAGGAGGAGCUGGGUUGGAAGAGUGCCAUGUGCAUGAGUGUGGGCAGAGCUGGCUUACCACAAGGUUGGUGUGGCAGUAGGAUAUAUAAGGGUGGCUGUCCUUUUUCUUUAUUCAGUCCCUUGUCACAGUUCAAUAAACCUUUUAAAAUUUUAAGAAGCGAGGUGUCGUUUCUCACAAUGCAUAAAGCUGAUGCAAUAUCAGGUGUAUAAAAGGUGGAGCUGCCAUUUUGUGCAUGAGCCUCUGGCAUUUUGUCACACACCCAGCGGUGUCCCUUUUGCUUU